UGAAGGAGGGCAUGUGAUGUAAUGAGCACUGGGUGUUAUAUAAGACUGAUGAAGCACUGACCUCUACCUCUGAAACCAAUAAUACAUUAUAUGUUAAUUAAUUGAAUUUAAAUUAAAAAAAUAAAUUAAUUUUAAAAAAGAAAGUGGUAAGUGCUAUAAAGAAAAAUGAAGGCAGGGAAAGGUUGUUGUGACACGUAAGUGAUUGAAUCCAUGUAAAGCUCCUAAAAUGCCUGGCAUAUAACCAUCGCAAGAACUUGAGCUGUUACUGAUUCGGCUGCAACGCGGGGACUCUUCCAGUGAAAGAGGUCACUCUAUGUAUACCGUCAGAACAGCACCAUGUCCUCACACACACUGUGGCAUGUAGUCAUUCUAUCUGUGACCACUGUAUUUCCAAUGAAAGUUUAAAAUUUUCUGGUUUUUACUCAUGGCAAACACCCAGGAAAAUUAUUUAGAACAAAAGAUAGAUUAUCCUUAAUGUCACCACUCAGAAGCAAUUUAACUUUUGGUAUAUAUCCUCCAAGGCUCUUCUCUUUUUCAUUGGAUACACACACACACACACACACAUUUUUUAAAUGCAAAUAAAAUCGCUGUUACAUAGCCCUUAAAGCUGUGUCAUGAACAUCUUCUGACAUCAACAGACAUAUUUGCAUCACUAUCUUAAUCAAUUGCAGCCCCGCUGGAAAGAUGGAUUUUAAGCUAGUUUGUUAUCCGUAGAUACUCGAUUGACUUCCAGAUUUUCUUUUCUAUAAAAAUGCUUUGGUUUUAAAGGCACCAACUUCACUAUUUGGCCUAGAGUUUUCCAUGGAUGUGUCAUGGGAAAGUAUGCAUUAUUUCCAUAUUCACUAUGAAAUCUAAUCACCUUUUAUAAACCCAGCUAGGAAGACUGAAUAGAAACUCCCUCAUGGGACAAUCUUGCUGGCCAGCUUAAUUUAGAGUCCAUUCAAUGUAAUUGCAUUUAACUGUACUCCAUUUAGUUGUAUUUUUUAACGUCUGCCAUGUCAGGACGCCAUGUGGAUUCCUGCUGGGAACCAAGAGGAGUAAGACGCAAUCCCUACGUUCAAGGAGGCCAAGACAGGAACACAGGUGUCGGUAAUCAGCACAUAGGCCAGAAGAGUCAUGGGAUCCCAGAGUAGGGAGAGAACAUAUCUGUUUGCUGUGACCAAGUAAGAAUAGAUGUCAGCUGCAUGUCACUAGUGCUGUGUGCAAGCAAGAUUCCCGAGACAGAGUCGUAACCCAUGUGUUAGUUUUGUCUCCUUGUGCCCUUUUGAGUGUACUCGGUAGAAGGAGGUUCUAAAUGAAAUUUUAGAAACAGGACCUUGGGAGGACUUAGGUGGGCUUUCUUAGAAGACAUGCAUAAACCAAGACCCACUGAUUGAGUAGAAGUUGGGCAGAUGGAGGGGAGUGGGGUCUGGGGCAGGAGGAGGGAAGAGAAGUGUAUUCCAGGUGUAGCGUAGAGGUGAGGAGAUGAGAAAUAGCCUGAUCUCUUAGAGGGAUUCAAAGAUCAGUAUAGUUGCGUGGGAGGGAAGGGCAGAGCUGUGCAGGGCUCUUGUGGGAAGGAUCUUCUCUGAACACUCCACAUUUUAGCUUAAGGCCUCAUACAAAGUGGGCAGUAAGUAAAUAUUGUUGAAAAUAAAGUCUGAAAAUCGUAUGAGUUUUUGGUUCCUUAACAAAUUUCCCUUCUCAUAAUUCAGAACCACCAUGUAUCAACUUCCCAUUCUCUUCACUGGAAAAUUUGAGGGUUAUCUCCAAAUGGUUCUUGGAUUCUAAGGCAGAGGGAGAAAAACAUUUGCAUCCUUGGAGCAGAGGCUCUGAUGGAGUUUGUUGGUAAGCAAGUUUUCUCAGGUAGUGAUGACUGAAGGUGAGUGAAGUAUUGAAGCCUCAGGGAUAGGAAUUAUCAUGCAGAUAGCGAGAAUACACUUGACAUCUUCAAAGCACAAGCCCAUUUCAAAGGUGGUUUUCUUAAGGAAAAAAAUGGUGAUCCAUAGUAUCUUUCAGGAAAUCAACUCUUGAAAUUAUAGUUUCUGCUGCUUUUUACUUGUGUCUUCUUUCAGUGAAUUAGACUAUAACCGAGCUUCUUUCUUGAUUUGCAUUUCUCCUUAAGUAUUCUGAGCUAAGUUCUACCCCACAGAGCUCCAGAAAAUGGAUAAACUAUGCAUCUGAGUGUCGAACAGUGGCGGCAGACGCCUACACACCAAACCCUGGCUGUGUGGGAUGCUGCCAUUUUCCCCCAGUCAUUUCAGGUCAGAAACACCUCUGCUCCCAAAGAAUAGCUUUGAGGGGCCCCCACACAAGGUCUUUGUAUGCACCGUAUAAGAUGACAAUCAAGGAGCAAUAUACUGUUCUGCCCCCUCCCAGGAAUAAGUGUGGGGCUACUUUUUGCCCUUAUGGGCAUAACAGGGAUUCUGCAAUUAUUCAGCCUCACGGGAAACCCUGUGAAUUACCUUUAGAGGGCUUGAAGUCAAAAUCAGAACAUGAUUUUACUUUAUUCCCAUCCAAUUAGCCAAGCUCUCUUUUGAAAAAAACAUUAAUACAUACGAUUAUGGAACUUUGGGAAACUGUAGAAAAUUAUGAUGACAGGGGAAAAAAAGUAUUCGCCUUUCUGCAGACUUAGACUCCCAUUGGUAUGCUCUUUGGCUUCAGGCCACUUGCCAUCUUUAGGAUAAAAUCCGCAUGCUGAGGAUCCAGAAGCCUGGAUUCUUUCUCAACGACAUUGAUGAGAAACCAUUCUGGCUCUCUACUGCUUACCUCUGAACCUUUUGUUGCUUGAGUUAAAUAAACCUCUAUCCUUUUAAAUCAUUAAAAUAGCUUUCUUUUGAGGUAUCACACACAUUCAGAAAAGUGCAUCACAAGUUUAGAGCAUGAUAAAUGUUUUUCAAAGCUGAUAUAUGUAUAGACAUGUCAUAUAUGUAUAUCAAGAAAAAGAACAUUAUCAUAAGCGACUCCCAGUUACUCCCACUUCUUUAAGUAACCUGUAUCUGAAAGUAACCAUAGAUUAGUUUUUCCUGGUUUUGAAAUGUAUGGGAAUGGAAUCACACUGUAUAUGUUCUCUUUGUUUCUGGCUUCUUCUGCUCAACAUUAUAUUUGUGAGAUUUAUCCAUACUGUUGUAUGCUCAUUCACUUCACUGUAUAGUGAUAUAGUUUAUGAGUAUACCAUAAUUUGUUUCUUCAUUCUGCUACUGAUGACACAUUUGAGUUGUUUCCAAAUUGGGGCUAUUACAAAUAAUACUGCUGUGAGUAUCCUUGUACAUCUCUUUUAGUGAGUAUGUACACACUUUCUGUUGGAGAAAUACCUAGGAAAAGAACUGCUAGCUGCGAAUGUGCAUGCUCAGCUUCAGUAGAUACCGCCAAAGUGUUUCCAAAGUAUAAAGUUACUUCUGGAAUACAAAGAACCAGCACUCUACGACAGUUCCAGUUGCUUCAUAUCCUUGCUGUCACUUGGUAUUGUCUAUUUCAUUUUAAGCAUUCUGAUGGGCGCAUAAUCCUACCACAUUGUGGUUUACAUUUGCAUUUUCCUGAUGGUUUUAAAAGUUGAACACCUUCAUAUAUAUUUAAUGGCCAUUUGGAUAUCUUUUUUUUAAAUAUUUUUAUUUAUUUUAUUUUAUUUAUUUGACAGAGAGAGACACAGCGAGAGAGGGAACACAAGCAGGGGGAGUGGGAGAGGGAGAAGCAGGCUUCCCGCUGAGCAGAGAGCCUGAUGCGGGGCUCGAUCCCAGGACCCUGGGAUCAUGACCUGAGCCGAAGGCAGACGCUUAACGACUGAGCCACCCAGGCGCCCCUGGAUAUCUUUUUUUUUUUAAGUUUCUGUUCCAGUCUUAUACCCAUUUUUCUACUGUGUUCUCUCUUUUUUUCUUUUUGUAGAAUUUCUAUAUAUAUUCUGAAUAUGGAGUUUUUGUUGGAUAUAUAUUUUGCCAGCAUCCUCUCUCCAUUUUGUAGCUUAAUUUUUCAAUCUUUUAAUGAUAUUUUUUGAAAAAUAGAAGUUUUUUAUUUUAGUAGAAUUCAAUUUUUUUUUUCUUUAUGGUUAGUUUUUGUGCUCAACUUAAAGAAGCUUUGCCUACUCUAUGGUCAUGGAGAUAUUUUCAUGUUUCUCUUUAAAAGUUUUAUUGUUUUAUUUUAGCUUUCAUAGUUAGGUUUUAUAUAUAUAUAUAUAUACAUGAGUGCACAGAUCUGCACACAUAGAACAGAUAUAUAUAGAUACAGAUAUAUAUAAAAUAUAUGUAUAUAUAUAAAAUAUAUAUAUAAUUAAUUUAUUGUGUAUAGUAUGACGUAGGGCUCAAAAUGCAGUUUUUCCCUCAUGGAAAUAAAAAUUGAUUUAGCCCCAAUUAUUAAAGAUCACCUCGGGGUGCCUGGGUGGUGCAGUUUGUUGAGCCUCUGACUCUUGGUUUCGGCUCUGGUUGUGAUCUCAGGAUCGUGAUAUUGAGCCCUGAGAUGGGCUCUGCGCUUAGCAUGGAGUCUGCUUCAGAUUCUCUCUCCCUCUCCCUCUGCCCCUCCCCUCCAUGCCCUCUCUCUUGCUCUCUCUCACGCUCUUUCUAAAAUAAAUAAAUAAAUCUUUAAAAAAAAUCACCCCUUCCACAAUGAACUGCAAUGUCACCUUCAUCACAAUGCUUAAGCCAUCUCAAAUUGGCUUUUGUUGUUACUAGCAGUCAGAGAAUCACAUCUGGUGUGUGUGCAUGUGUAUGACUGUGUAUACCCAUGAAUUUUCCUUUGUAUCCUUAAAUAUUUAUUAAAAAUAUAGUAUUUAAUAUGUGUUAAAUAGUCCAUGUUAGUGAUAUACCAUCAUCUGCUUAAUCAAUACUCUGAGGCUGGACAUUUGUUUCCAACUUUUGGUUAUUAUAAAUGAUUCUAAAAUGAAUGUCUUUGUCCAUAAAUAUUUGCACAUAUAUUUCUCUAUUUUCUUUAAGUGAGCUCCUAGAAAUAGAAUUAUGGGUAAAAAUGUACAAAUUUUUCAAGGCUUUAAACACAACCUGAAGAAACAUGUGGAGAGUGGGCUUUUAAAGUACCAUAGUUCUGCAGUUGAGAAGCCAAUAAUACCACUUUUAAAAUAAAAUAUAUUUAUUUAGCUUUUUUUCCCUAAUAAAUUUCAUUGAUUUUUUUUUUAACUAUUUACUUUCCUAAUGACAGUAGAACUCAGCAGAUUGGAACUUACUUGACAUGAAAAUUAAACAUAAUUUCAACAUAAUAGCCUGUCUAUUUAUUUCUUGUACUUGAAACCAGGAAGGCAAACAAUGGGGGCAGGUACUUCUUAUAUUCAACACAUUAUUCCUGCGCAUGGAUUCCUUUUUUCCUUGAUUUUGCUAUUGCCCUUUGUUCUUUUGUAAGCUAUAGAUGAUCCAAGAAUGGAAUGAAAAGAAUGUUUUGGAGGAAUGUCGGACUUGCUUGGUGGGGGGUAGGGGGCUGAUGGUAGCAGGGAACUGCUCCUAAAUACUCUAUCCCCGAUUCUUCAUGUAUUGUUUUCAUAGCCAAUGAAGGAGAAGAGAGAUCAAGAAAAGGAGAAGCAGAGUUGGGGAGGUGGGAUUUUCACUCUAUAAAGGGCUAAUUUAAAGAUUUAACUCAGAAAGACUGCGGAGUACUUGGAGCUGCCUCUACCAAGCCAAAGCAGACUGAGCCAGAGGUGCCCCCUGGGCUCAGCCAUCUGCUGGGUUUCAGGGAACAGACCCUUCCCAGGUGGAGAUGGGGGUCCUCAGUUGCUAUGGCUCUGAAGAAUAAAUCCCGCCUUUGUAAAGCUUUUGAAAGAAUUUGGAGGAAAAAAUGCCUCAGACUGUUGCGGGUUGAAUUAUGUCUCACGAAAAGAUAUGGAGAAGUCCCAAGUCUGACAGAGAGAAUGAGAUACAGAGAGCAUGAGAGGGAAGAGGGUCAGAGGGAGAAGCAGACUCCCCGCCGAGCAGGGAGCCCGAUGCGGGACUCGAUCCAGGGACUCCAGGAUCAUGACCUGAGCCGAAGGCAGUCGCUCAACCAACUGAGCCACCCAGGCGCCCCGGAAUUUUUCUUUUAAUGUGGCUAUUGCUGUGAUUUGGAAUUCACUCAGUCUGGCAUGGUGCCCCCCGCUCUCCAGAAUGAGGGGAAGCUGACAGCUGGAUGAAGAAAGGCUUUGUGGAGGAAGCGUCAUUAGAGCUGACCUUCAGGGACGAGUCCAAUGCUAUUGCGGGCACUCCUGGAGAAGCUACAGCUAGAUGAGAUUUAAAAUCAGAGAAAUGGCUGAACUCCAGGAAGAGAUUAAAAACAUAAAAGACGAAGCUAUACAUGAUCAAAAUAAAACCCCAAAGCCAUGAGUUCACUGUACCUAUAUGAGAGGCCCCGAGGAAAGGAAUUUUCCAGAGCCACUGCAGCCCUGAGGCAGAAGAAACAGCCCUAGAUCCUGCUGUGCCACCCCCCACCCAUUUUCACAGGAAAAGGAGAGGACAUAAAAAGAGAUGUUGACUUCUGGAGUGGCCCAGCUUCUGAGGACUGAAGCCAUCAAACCAGGGGGAGGAGGAUGCUUCGAACCUGGAUGUCGGGAUGGAACUUAACCAGGGCUGCCUUCUGAAAUGGAACUUCCAGAGAGCAGCAGACAGACUGUGGAACAGCCUUCCCAGAAAAAGAAAAGCCUCCUAUAGACCAGCAAGAGCUCUGAUCACACAAAUGCAAGCAAGGUUUCCAAAGAAAAUGAAAUGAGAGUUUAGAGAAUGGGCAUGGAAAAUUUCUCUACAGAAAGAUUCAAACUCACUGUAUACCCGUGAAAAGGAACCUUUUUUUUUUUUUAAAUCAAAAUAUGUUCACAAAUACUGGCUUAUUUGAUUCUCAUAAUAACCAUGAAUGUGGGCUGUGGAUAUGGGCCAUGAAAACAUGAUUCUCCAUUUUGCGGUUGGGAGAAGGGAGAGAGAAUGUCAGUGGUUUGCCUUUCAGGGCACGUGAGUAGCAAAUGAUUGAAGCAGGACAUGGGUCUUCUGGUUGCCCCUAGACGGUGUUCUUGCUGCCUCAUUCUGCCUUUACAAAUUGGAGGUGGGCCACCUAAGUAGCAAUCUCUUUUCUUUCAGACAGAAAUGUAUCUUGAAAAAAAAAAUAAGGACAAGGAUCAAAAAUAGUCUCAAAUGAACAUGGAAAAAAUAUUUUAGUUAUAUUUUAUGAUACAUUCAAAGAUUUUCUUAAGGUAGAGAGUCGGAGGGGCAGAGGGCAGUAGAGAUGAGAAGAAGUGAAAAAAGACACACUCACAUGCCGCACAUGCCCACAACUUCCAUGGACUAACAGCUCCAUAGUAUCACUUUUUAGAACGCAACAGGGUACUUAUGUUUUCACAGUGAUACGCAGAAAUAUGGGCAAUACCUCUUCUGGGAACUGGUGACGUUGAGAUAAAAUUUGGGUCAGGAAUGAGAGUUCUCUUAGCUGUGGCUGAAAAUGAGGGAGAUCAUUUCCCUUGCUGUUGUCAUGUUUAACUUCCAGAAUGAAGCGAUUGCCCUGCUUCAGCUCCAUCUUUAUAAUAACGAGCAAUGAUGACGGACGAGCACAUAGAAUACAAAGAGUGGGAGAAAGCAGGGCAAGAGAAAACCAGAGUGGGGGCGUCUUCACAGCCCAUUAGAACCGCCUGGGCAGGCUGUAACUUUGUGGGGCCUGGACCCCGCCCCAAACCAAUCGGACUGCUGGGGCUGGGCCCCCGGGUGGCAGACAGAACUUAGGGCCUCCAGGUGUGUCCAAUGUGUGGCCCAGGCUGAGAACCCUGCUUUCAAGAGAUCUGCCCCCAAAGGCUGACUUAGGAAAGGAAAAUACACCAAAAUAACUGAAAUGAGAUUGGGGGAGGGCCAUGCAAAACCUUCUCCUGGAAGAGAGACGGAGAACAGAAGAUAGAGAUGACUCAGGAGGUCAGAGCGCAGCACGGUGAGGCUGGUGGCAGCUGAAGAGGCGCUCUCUGCUUGAACUUCCAAGGGCGAACACAGAGGGGAAAACCCAGGGACUUCGCUGGAAAGUUUAGCGUAAGAACAUCUUCCCCCUUUUGCCUUAAUUAACCUUUAUUCCAAUGCAACACUUUGAGGGCUGGGAGAAGGGUGCUAAAUCCUCCGAUUCAUUUGGUUCUGGGCCUCACACAGAAGCAGCGUGGGAGGACUUCUCACCGGAGGGAACACUCGCUCUUAUGUACAACUCCUAAGGCUGCCCUCCUCCAAAGAAGCAGAACGUUCCGACUGGGGACAAAGCAGUGGUCCAAGAACAGCCACGUCACCUCACCAGUGGAGGUGACAGGUUAGGCCAGAAGGAAGUUGGCAGUGUUGUGUGGGUGAGGGGCUCUGAGAUAACACGUGAGGACAAUGAGGGGAAAAAAAGGUCACCUUUCAAAUUCCUUCUGAGAUGGAGUCAGAUGAGGACUUUCUUCUUUUGUAAAUGAGCUGAAUGCAGUGAUGAGCCUUCAUUUUCCAUCAAUACUGGCGUCAAUAUUAUUUGCUCUGGAUACCCUAGCCCAGGAAUCCUUAACGUCAUUACCCUCCCAUUCUUGGUUAGAGUAGAGGCUCCCUGAGGGGCUACUUCUUCUGCAGCUUGACAGCCUUUGAAGUGUACAGUUUAGCACCUACCCAGCAUGUAGUAGAAACUGAGUGAAGGUUGAUGGAGAAACCAAUUAGAAUAUGGCUGGUAUUGCAGGGGAAACACCAUGGGCUAAAUAAAACACGUCCCCCAGAAAUGCAAGGUGCCCUGCCCUAUUGCUAAGGGGCAAAUGGGGAUGCCUUCUGGGGGACACAGGUCCAGGGAAUUUCUACUUUCCUUCCAACCUCAUUCAGAAUGGGGGCAGAGAAGCGGAGAAUGGACUAGAGAUGUCCUGGACGUGACAUUUGGGAUCAUGACACUUGGAGACUCUGUGGCAGGAAUGCUGAGGGCAGAAAGCAGUGAAAUGGUCUGUUCUCACCCCUCAAGGCAGAGCCUCAAGCCAUUGAGGGACCACACCACCAGGUGUCACUGCUUCCCAGAAAACGCAGCUUGUGAUCAAGUGGGGUUUUAGGAUCCCAAAGUCCUUUCUGGAAGGCCAGAGCCACUCUGAAAUUGGAUGUCCAAGUAGGCUUGAGAGCUGGAUUUUUCUUUUGGUGAGAAAGCUCUUGUUUCCUCCAAAGCAACAGGUCCUGAGUAAGCUCUUGGAACCCCUCUGAAGCCUUGGAAAACUUGCCACCUUCUAAACAAAAGCAUCUUGUGUAUACCCUUAGGAAAUAAUUACAUGGAAGUUUAUAGUCAGUCUUGCUGUUUUGCCUGCAGCAUAUAAAAAGUUUCCAGUGUGCAUCUCCCAUGCUCAGAUGUUGUGCAUUAAUCACAUUUGGAGGUAGAGCCUGGAGCCCGGCCUGGCCUGAACUUUCAGUGGGAAGAUGCAGCUAUAUUGGUCAGGGCGAUUACAAAGGUAGGUCAGGGCAUUAGAGGCUUUGGCCGCGAGUACUGGUGAUUAGGUUAGAGCUCAUUGGACAAAUGGAUUAGUGUUGGAUGAAUGGGCUCCCUUGGACAAAGGGAAGUAAAAGACUACUUUAAUCAAGACUAAGCCGCAUCUCCCAGCCAGUCAGCCAUCGUCAGUGCCUAAGAAUGUUCCGGGACGCUAAGGCCUGGCCGGCAUCUGUUAGAUGGGACUCUGCACCUGCACCAGUCGGGAAUACAGUCAAAAGAUGGAAGCCGAGGAGGAAAAUAAUCUAGGUCAACUUCUGUUGCUUCCCAAAGAUUCCAGUUUUGUGGCUUGAAACGUCCUUCCCGUUGGUCUACAUAACUACUGGACCCCAAGUUUAUGAAUGUCGGUGCUUUCAAGCAAGUCAAGUGGCUGCCAAGAAAUACAUAUGGUUAGUCCAAGACUUGGACUGUAUUUGCAUUGACCUUGGCUUCUAAUUUCUCUAUCAUCACAUAGGCCUGGCUGAUUGGACCUUGCCUUUUGUCAAAUCUGAGUAAAGAAACCUUCCACAUGAGGGCCAAGGCUGCUGUGUGUUGA